rnacentral:sRNA from 1 species
UAUUUGCGUUAGCGAUUGCAAUGAAAAUCCUUUUGCUUUUCGCAAAAGAUUGAAAUGGAAAGCGCGACCCUUG